rnacentral:rRNA from 1 species
AGAAUCAACGCUGGCGGCGUGCCUAACACAUGCAAGUCGAACGAGAAAGUGGAGCAAUCCAUGAGUAAAGUGGCGACCGGGUGAGUAACACGUGACUAACCUACCUUCGAGUGGGGGAUAACAUCGGGAAACCGAUGCUAAUACCGCAUAACAUCGCAAGAUCAAAGCAGCAAUGCGCUGGAAGAGGGGGUCGCGGCUGAUUAGCUAGUUGGCGGGGUAACGGCCCACCAAGGCGAAGAUCGGUAGCCGGCCUGAGAGGGCGCACGGCCACACUGGAACUGAAACACGGUCCAGACUCCUACGGGAGGCAGCAGUGGGGAAUUUUGCGCAAUGGGGGAAACCCUGACGCAGCAACGCCGCGUGGAGGAUGAAGCCCUUGGGGUGUAAACUCCUUUCGACCAAGACGAUAAUGACGGUACUGGUGGAAGAAGCACCGGCUAACUCUGUGCCAGCAGCCGC